CCUACGGGAGGCAGCAGUGGGGAAUUUUGGACAAUGGGCGCAAGCCUGAUCCAGCAAUGCCGCGUGAGUGAAGAAGGCCUUCGGGUUGUAAAGCUCUUUUGUCAGGGAAGAAACGGUGGAGGCUAAUAUCCCUUGCUAAUGACGGUACCUGAAGAAUAAGCACCGGCUAACUACGUGCCAGCAGCCGCGGUAAUACGUAGGGUGCAAGCGUUAAUCGGAAUUACUGGGCGUAAAGCGUGCGCAGGCGGUUUUGUAAGUUUGUCGUGAAAUCCCCGGGCUCAACCUGGGAAUGGCGAUGAAGACUGCAAGGCUAGAAUCUGGCAGAGGGGGGUAGAAUUCCACGUGUAGCAGUGAAAUGCGUAGAGAUGUGGAGGAACACCGAUGGCGAAGGCAGCCCCCUGGGUCAAGAUUGACGCUCAUGCACGAAAGCGUGGGGAGCAAACAGGAUUAGAUACCCUGGUAGUCCACGCCCUAAACGAUGUCUACUAGUUGUCGGGUUUUAAUUAACUUGGUAACGCAGCUAACGCGUGAAGUAGACCGCCUGGGGGAGGUACGGUCGCGAGAUAAACUAACAAGAAAGUAGUAGCGUGAGACGUGCCGACGGACGACGACGAGGGAGGAGG
rnacentral:rRNA from 1 species